rnacentral:snoRNA from 1 species
ACGGCAUGAUGGGGACAUUUCCUGAUGAGGUCCUUUAAUCUUUCCUAUGCCUCAUGGAACUAUUCACUAUCAUGAUGUGAAAAGCUAGUGAGCGCUCGCCUUAUCU